rnacentral:misc_RNA from 1 species
UACGGAGGUUGCAAGCGGUAAUCGGAAUGACUGGGCGUAAAGCGCGCGUAGGUGGUUGGUUAAGUUGGAUGUGAAAGCCCCGGGCUCAACCUGGGAACUGCAUCCAAAACUGGCGGGCUAGAGUACGGUAGAGGGUGGUGGAAUUUCCUGUGUAGCGGUGAAAUGCGUAGAUAUAGGAAGGAACACCAGUGGCGAAGGCGACCACCUGGACUGAUACUGGCACUGAGGUGCGAAAGCGUGGGGAGCAAACAGG